UACGUAGGUGACCAGCGUUGUCCGGAUUUACUGGGUGUAAAGAGCGCGCAGGCGGUCGUUCAAGUCGAGUGUGAAAGCCCCCGGCUCAACUGGGGAGGGUCAUUCGAUACUGAUCGACUCGAAGGCAGGAGAGGGAAGUGGAAUUCCCGGUGUAGUGGUGAAAUGCGUAGAUAUCGGGAGGAACACCAGUGGCGAAGGCGACUUCCUGGCCUGUUCUUGACGCUGAGGCGCGAAAGCUAGGGGAGCAAACGGG
rnacentral:rRNA from 1 species